CUGAUCGAAAAUUUUACCGAUACGUACACCAUUGUGUUAAAAAACGGAAUUCCCCCACUCUGCUUUUUUUUACUUUGGUAUCUUAUGAGUCUUCGGACCAAAUUUAGGGCAAUCUGUAAGUUUUCAUACCCUAUUAAUUCGUUCGAGGGGGGCAUUUACUGAUUGAUACGGUCUAGUUUGUUUGGAUGUCCGAGAUAACGUGAAGGCUGAUAAUUCUGUAUUUUAAGGCUGCAGAUGCCUACCAGAACAGAAACUGUCAAAAUAUUUUCCUAACUUAUGAGCAUUAGAGUGAUAUUGAGUUUUUAUGGUUUCCUUUGAAUUAGCGCACGUGGGACGAUUUUCCGGAGAGCACCCUCUUUUGUUCACCGUAGACUUGAAUUUCUAUAGAACUUGGACCCAAGCAAAAGUAAAGUUCGGUCAUCGUAACAUGAAACAUAAGUGUCGUCAACAACAUUAAUAACUUACUCCUGCAGCACUUCAUCUGAAUACUUAAGUUUUUUUCAGUCUGCUCUUAAGAAAGUAAGAAAGUGUGUUAAUUCAUUCUCUUCUCUUAUACCAUCUUCAAAAUGUGUGUUGUUGCUGCUUAUUUCACCUCUAGGAUGUUUUUCCUGACAAAGCAACAGAAAGGAAAAUUCUUUCUUUUGGUAUCAAAUGUCCAAGUGAAGGCUGCGAAUGGACCGGAGAACUUAGAGAAAAAGAGGUUCAUCUGUCUUCCUGCGAUUAUAAAGAUGUCCCUUGUCUCAACACAAACUGUCUCGUGAAAGUGCAAAGGAAAUACCUCUUUGACCACGUGUUCGUCAGCUGUGAUUGGAGAGUUGUCAUGUGCGAUCACUGUGGCGAACCACAACCACAGUGUCAUAUGCAGGAUCAUAUUGAUCAGUGCAGUCAGUUCCCAGUAACUUGUCCAAACAAUUGCGGUUGUUCAAUCCCUAGAGGAAGGGU